rnacentral:rRNA from 1 species
GCCCUUAGUUUGAUCCUGGCUCAGGACGAACGCUGGCGGCGUGCCUAAUGCAUGCAAGUCGAACGAACUCGACCUUCGGGUCAUAUGAGUGAGUGGCGAACGGGUGAGUAACACGUGAGAAACCUGCCUCGAAGUUCGGAAUAACUCAGGGAAACUUGAGCUAAUACCGGAUGUCCCCUACGAAUCGAAUGGUCUGUAGAGGAAAGAUUUAUCGCUUCGGGAGGGUCUCGCGGCCUAUCAGCUAGUUGGUGAGGUAACGGCUCACCAAGGCAUUGACGGGUAGCUAGUCUGAGAGGACGAAUAGCCACACUGGGACUGAGACACGGCCCAGACUCCUACGGGAGGCAGCAGCAGGGAAUCUUGCACAAUGGACGAAAGUCUGAUGCAGCGACGCCGCGUGGGGGAUGAAGGCCCUAGGGUCGUAAACCCCUUUCAGUAGGGACGAAAAUGACGGUACCUACAGAAGAAGGUCCGGCCAACUACGUGCCAGCAGCCGCGGUAAUAAGGGCG